rfam:Myotis brandtii contig163574, whole genome shotgun sequence.
GGCAGUUUUUGGGUGACGCACCCCAGAAUCAGGCUCUCUCCUCUCUGGUUCUGGGUGCGUCACUGCAGUACCACC